AAAAAGAUAAGCUAAUUAAGCUAUUGGGCCCAUACCCCAAAUAUAAAGUUAAACUUUUCUUUUUA
rnacentral:tRNA from 1 species